rnacentral:lncRNA from 1 species
UUUGUUUUAAUUUCUAAUUUUGCUCGAGGACUAGCAAAAGAUAGGUUUGAGGUAGUUUGAUAGAUUCAUAUUUUGCAUAUAUAAUCUAUCUUUAUUUGCAUUGUUUUCAUGUGAAAUUGGUUAGUUUAAUGCGUUUGGUGAAGAUUUUGUAGGAAAUCAUACCUAGCAAGGCUUUGGAGCAAAUUAUGGGUAUCGGCUGGACCCUUGAGAAUACCUUCCUAUUUUCCCUUUAAAACCCCAAAGCAAAUUCCCUCUUUGACUAAGCCGCAUGUUACUUGCUUUUGAGAAUAGGUCUUAGUUUUUCUAAUAUUCCUAUUUUUCCUUUCCUUCCUAAAUAAAUAUUAUCUUCCUUAUUUUUGGAGGAGUCCCUUGGCCUAUAAAUACAAAGCUUUAACCUAAUAACCAGGGCAUCUUUUUC